rnacentral:tRNA from 1 species
GGGAAUGUGGCUCAGUGGUAGAGUGCUUGCCUAGCAUGCAGGAAGCCCUGGGUUCCAUUCCUC